rnacentral:rRNA from 1 species
AGCAGUGAGGAAUAUUGGUCAAUGGCCGGAAGGCUGAACCAGCCAAGUCGCGUGAGGGAAUAAGGCCCUACGGGUCGUAAACCUCUUUUGUCAGGGAGCAAGGCCGCCCACGUGUGGACGGAAGGAGAGUACCUGGAGAAAAAGCAUCGGCUAACUCCGUGCCAGCAGCCGCGGUAAUACGGAGGAUGCGAGCGUUAUCCGGAUUUAUUGGGUUUAAAGGGUGCGUAGGCGGCCUGCCAAGUCAGCGGUAAAAUUGCGGGGCUCAACCCCGUACAGCCGUUGAAACUGCCGGGCUCGAGUGGGCGAGAAGUAUGCGGAAUGCGUGGUGUAGCGGUGAAAUGCAUAGAUAUCACGCAGAACCCCGAUUGCGAAGGCAGCAUACCGGCGCCCUACUGACGCUGAGGCACGAAAGUGCGGGGAUCAAACAGGAUUAGAUACCCUGGUAGUCCGCACAGUAAACGAUGAAUGCUAGCUGUCCGGGGGGAUUGACCCCUGGGUGGCACAG